rnacentral:lncRNA from 1 species
AGGUUUCACGAGAAACUCUUUCUCAUGUAAGAUAUGGGGCACCAAAGAGGAUAAGGAUAAGGUGCAUGGAUUGGUUGCUCAUUCAAAUUCAAAGUUUCUUUUGAAUUUGAAUGGCCAACCAACCAUCCUUAUCCACCUAUAUGGUUCACAAAUGUGGGGCAUGGGAAGGGCUUUGCAUGAGAGAAAAUUCAUGAGAAGUUGCUUCUCGUGAAUUCAAAUGGGCGCAGAGAUAUCAGGUGGUGCAGGGAGUUUGGGUCAAGGUGGUUUCUCAUUUUAAACUAACCUAAUUGAACCAAUUUAAUUAAAAUAAGCUAGGCCCAAUUAGACUAAUUUAAAUCUAACUUAAUUAGGCUUAAUUAGGCUCAAUAAAAUCUUAAUCAAAUCAGGAAUUGACUAAGCCCAACCCCUGAUCAAAUCAGGGACCAAACCAUCUCGACGAUUAGGUCAAAUCUUAACCUAAUCGGGUCAAACCCAACUGAAUCCAAUUCAAUUGGACUUGAUCCAAAAAUAAUUACUCAAUCAAAUUG